UGAACGCUGGCGGCAGGCCUAACACAUGCAAGUCGAGCGGAAACGAUGGAAGCUUGCUUCCAGGCGUCGAGCGGCGGACGGGUGAGUAAUGCAUAGGAAUCUGCCCGGUAGUGGGGGAUAACUUGGGGAAACCCAAGCUAAUACCGCAUACGCCCUACGGGGGAAAGCAGGGGAUCUUCGGACCUUGCGCUAUCGGAUGAGCCUAUGUCGGAUUAGCUAGUUGGUGAGGUAAUGGCUCACCAAGGCCGCGAUCCGUAGCUGGUCUGAGAGGAUGAUCAGCCACAUCGGGACUGAGACACGGCCCGAACUCCUACGGGAGGCAGCAGUGGGGAAUAUUGGACAAUGGGCGAAAGCCUGAUCCAGCCAUGCCGCGUGUGUGAAGAAGGCCCUCGGGUUGUAAAGCACUUUCAGUGAGGAAGAACGCUUGUGGGUUAAUACCCUGCAAGGAAGACAUCACUCACAGAAGAAGCACCGGCUAACUCCGUGCCAGCAGCCGCGGUAAUACGGAGGGUGCGAGCGUUAAUCGGAAUUACUGGGCGUAAAGCGCGCGUAGGCGGCUUGAUAAGCCGGUUGUGAAAGCCCCGGGCUCAACCUGGGAACGGCAUCCGGAACUGUCAGGCUAGAGUGCAGGAGAGGAAGGUAGAAUUCCCGGUGUAGCGGUGAAAUGCGUAGAGAUCGGGAGGAAUACCAGUGGCCAAGGCGGCCUUCUGGACUGACACUGACGCUGAGGUGCGAANGCGUGGGUAGCAAACAGGAUUAGAUACCCUGGUAGUCCACGCCGUAAACNAUGUCGACUAGCCGUNGGGGUCCUCGA
rnacentral:rRNA from 1 species